rnacentral:lncRNA from 1 species
UUUGAAAACAAUUCCCUCUCCCUGCUUCCCCCUCAUUUUUUUUGGAAGUUCCUCCUUCCAAAAUCUUGGUUCCGCUACUGAGUGCACACACUCAUACAUGUAAUUUCCUUUUCUGGUUUUGAAUAAUUCUUGCUAUUUUUGUUCUUGCAGCUACGUUAAUCAGGGAGCUGAGGAGAAUAUCCCACCAAACUCGUGGUUGGUGUAUGAUAUUGAAUUGAUUGGAGUCCGUCGAUAACUCCAGCGUAGAAUUAUUCGUUCGUGGAUGAAAGAUCAUCUGUAGGGAACUUAUCGUUUCUUGAAAUUUUGUCACGUGAACUCUCUGUGGAAGUUGGUGCUGAGGCAGGUUCUAGACGUUAGUAUUAUUCAUUCGUGGAUGAAAGAUCAUCUAUAGGGAACUUAUCGUUUCUUGAAAUUUUGUCACGUGAACUCUGCGGAAGUUGGUGCUGAGGCAGGUUCUAGACAAAGAUUUACAACCACUUUCUUCAUUACCAGGACCGACUUGUUGAGGAA